AUACGUAGGGGGCGAGCGUUGUCCGGAAUGAUUGGGCGUAAAGGGCGCGUAGGCGGCCCGGUAAGUCUGGAGUGAAAGUCCUGUUUUUAAGAUGGGAAUUGCUUUGGAUACUGUCGGGCUUGAGUGCAGGAGAGGUAAGUGGAAUUCCCAGUGUAGCGGUGAAAUGCGUAGAGAUUGGGAGGAACACCAGUGGCGAAGGCGACUUACUGGACUGUAACGUACGCUGAAGCGCGAAAGUGUGGGGAGCAAACAGGAUUAGGUACCCUGGUAGUCCACACUGUAAACGAUGAAUGCUAGGUGUAGGGGGUAUCGACCCCUUCUGUGCCGCAGUCAACACAAUAAGCAUUCCGCCUGGGGAGUACGGCCGCAAGGUUGAAACUCAAAGGAAUUGACGGGG
rnacentral:rRNA from 1 species